rnacentral:rRNA from 1 species
UCUGUUCCUUUUUUUCCCUCCGCCGCGGUAAUACGUAGGGGGCAAGCGUUAUCCGGAUUUACUGGGUGUAAAGGGAGCGUAGACGGUGUGGCAAGUCUGAUGUGAAAGGCAUGGGCUCAACCUGUGGACUGCAUUGGAAACUGUCAUACUUGAGUGCCGGAGGGGUAAGCGGAAUUCCUAGUGUAGCGGUGAAAUGCGUAGAUAUUAGGAGGAACACCAGUGGCGAAGGCGGCUUACUGGACGGUAACUGACGUUGAGGCUCGAAAGCGUGGGGAGCAAACAGG